AAAAAGACAUAAUUUUUUACAGCGUAUUAUCAUUGUUUUAGAGUUUAAAGGGUAGUUAGGUGCUAAUUGAUCGUAGACAGAAGCCCUAGACUCUUCUAAUUAUAUGAAAAAUAAAGUGAAGAAUGGCGCCAGUGCAUGAGCGGUACACAUGUGGCUCUGUAAGUAAAUAUGCAGCCAUAAUUCAUGCAGUAUUGACCUAAUGACUCUAAAACCCCUCGAGAAUUACAGAAGAAAGGAGAACAAGAAAGGACGAGCAUUAUUAAUAAGCCCUUGUACUAAGAAAUCCAUAAAUUUUCAUUGUUCAAUACAAAUAAAAAUAAGCCAGAAGCUUUUUCCGGUUGUUAAAGUAUACAUUCUUAUUUCUAAAAUAAGAAAUUAUUAAUUUAAAAAUUUUAUUUGUAAAUUAAAAUUGAUUGGAGCGGAAGGACCCUUCUUUAGAUCAAACAAAAUUAAAAAUAAAUCAUCAACAUGUUUGUAGUCGAGUAAAAAUAUGUCAAGAAUAUUUCACUCACCAGAAAAAAACUAUCUGUUUUAAAAAAUGAAAAAUGGGAAAUUGAUUUUAACCGCGAUGUAAAACCGUGAAAAAAAGGAUCCAUCGAGCAUGUGUCAUCGUAGAUGAGUUUCUAGUGACACAAAAACUAACUCUUUUCCGCUGAGAUGAUUAAUGGGCGGAUAAUUAGAAGCUGAUUCCCUGGAUGAGGCUCUCAAUGCAAUAUAUAAAUAUAUAUUGUACACGUUUAGGGAGCAGAGCUAGAAAAAGAGCCAGAGCGGUCUUUCGAUGGACCAAAGAGUCGCUGGAGGGACAUUUUUCAUUUCGGGCGAGUGCGAGUCAUUUAAAGGCGGAUAAAUAUAAACAUAAACAACGUGCAAGACACGUAUAAAAAUGUCGCUGGUGCGAUAAAGAUUCCCUGAAAUAAAUAAAAAAUUAAAAGCCGACUGAGCUAAAAUGUGUGCGAUGUCUAAACGCAAUAAAUAUCCCAAAAAACUAUUCGUAGCUAAAUAUUUCAGGGGCUACGAAGAAGCGUUUACUGGCUACUAAUUGUCAGAUGGCGACGUAAUUGUCGCAUUUCUCAAGAUUUUUUAGCUGAUGGCAACACGGGGCGUUACCGCAACUCCCGAUCUAAGUAAUCUAAGCGAAAUCUAAUCAGGGAACAAGGGAGUUUACCACCGGAUUUCCAUGGCAAAAUUAGCAAGACAGAUAAAUACUGACGUGAGACCAAAAACAUUGAGUAGGCGUGGAAUCUGCAGGAAGCAAUGGAUCAAACAACUAACCAGGGGCCGUUCUGACGAAGUAGAUCCAAUAUCUGGAUCUUCAAAAAUUUCCAUUUCAUCUGUUGAAGACAUUGAUGAAUCUGGUACCGUUAAUCUUGUUUCUUGAUCUCAACUUACAACUAGAGUGGAAGGGUAAGAGUGAGGCGUAAACCGAAAAUCCCACGUGCUGAUGACGUACCAAGUGGAUGGACCAAUGAUGCUGGAUACUGGGCGUUACUUGGCAAGAUCAUCAACUCGAGAUGA